UAAAUAUUAGAAACAUUAGGUUCUAUUAGAUUAAAAGGGAAACUGGUGUAAAUCCAGUACAGCCCCCGCUACUGUAAAUUGGGACGAAAUCAACUUAUACCACUGAGAAUAUCUCGGGAAGGUGUUGAGAGUAGGAUGAUCAUAAGUCAGGAGACCUGCCUAAUAGUUUAUUUAAAG
rnacentral:ncRNA from 2 species